CAUCGGAAAAAUAGCAUGUAAAUCUAUAUAAUCAAUUUCUAUUUCCCACCCCAUGAAUUUGAGAUAGACUUAUAUCAUAACUUUGGAAAGUGAUGGAAUGUCACGUUCUAAAAAAAUAGUCUAUUCUAUUAGUAAGAUUCCAGUUCUUCAAAAUUAGGUUGAGGAGCCAAGUAGAACGGAGUCGUUCCAUCCCUGAUUAUAGGAACGGAGCCGCUCUGUUCUGUGUUUGGUAAUCUGGAAUGGAGCGGCUCUGUUUUUUGUUUGGUUGCAGAGUGAACGGAACGGGGCGUGACUGUGAGAGCGGGAUGGGAACGGAGCGGCUUUGUCCGGUUGAUUUUUUGGAGCGGAAUGGUUCCGGAUCUGAGGAGAAUAUUCCUUAAUUGGAGCAAUUCCGUUCUAGUUACUUUGUAAUCAAACAGCAACAAACAAGACCUUAGUCAUUUUUGCUUUACCUCCAUCUAAACAGACCCUAAAUAUCAUGUGUGUUAGACGUCUUUCCUUUGGGCUCUUUGGCAUCGCAAGCAUGCAUUGAAGGGUUGGGCUACAGAUCGAUUUGGUCAAUUGUUAUUGCUAUGCUCACACGGCUGAGCGAAGGAGCCGACAAAGCCUAAAACCAACUGGUAAGGGCAUGUACAGUGGUGUUUAAUGUGGAGGCUCGUAAGGUGUUUAAGGGGGUUAUUUGCAAAAAAAUCUUAGAGCCGUCUCUCCGUGAAGAGACGCCUCUGGCUCGUAAACCAAGUAGCAACAGACGCUUCAUUUCCCAUUGUACGAAUUUGUCGUCUGUUCUAUCGAUCUGAUGCUAUACAAAUACAUUUAAUUCUGUAUUUAUU
rnacentral:lncRNA from 1 species